rnacentral:rRNA from 1 species
UACGUAGGGUGCGAGCGUUAAUCGGAUUUACUGGGCGUAAAGCGUGCGCAGGCGGCCCGUUAAGACAGAUGUGAAAUCCCUGGGCUCAACCUAGGAAUUGCGCUUGUGACUGGCGGGCUCGAGUACGGUAGAGGGGGGUGGAAUUCCUGGUGUAGCAGUGAAAUGCGUAGAGAUCAGGAGGAACACCGAUGGCGAAGGCGGCUCCCUGGGCCUGUACUGACGCUCAUGCACGAAAGCGUGGGGAGCAAACAGG